rnacentral:rRNA from 1 species
AGCGGCGGAUGGGUGAGUAACACGUGGGGAACCUGCCCCUAAGUCUGGGAUACCAUUUGGAAACAGGUGCUAAUACCGGAUAAUAAAGCAGAUCGCAUGAUCAGCUUUUGAAAGGCGGCGUAAGCUGUCGCUAAGGGAUGGCCCCGCGGUGCAUUAGCUAGUUGGUAAGGUAACGGCUUACCAAGGCGACGAUGCAUAGCCGAGUUGAGAGACUGAUCGGCCACAUUGGGACUGAGACACGGCCCAAACUCCUACGGGAGGCAGCAGUAGGGAAUCUUCCACAAUGGACGCAAGUCUGAUGGAGCAACGCCGCGUGAGUGAAGAAGGUUUUCGGAUCGUAAAGCUCUGUUGUUGGUGAAGAAGGAUAGAGGUAGUAACUGGCCUUUAUUUGACGGUAAUCAACCAGAAAGUCACGGCUAACUACGUGCCAGCAGCCGCGGUAAUACGUAGGUGGCAAGCGUUGUCCGGAUUUAUUGGGCGUAAAGCGAGCGCAGGCGGAAAAAUAAGUCUAAUGUGAAAGCCCUCGGCUUAACCGAGGAACUGCAUCGGAAACUGUUUUUCUUGAGUGCAGAAGAGGAGAGUGGAACUCCAUGUGUAGCGGUGGAAUGCGUAGAUAUAUGGAAGAACACCAGUGGCGAAAGGCGGCUCUCUGGUCUGCAACUGACGCUGAGGCUCGAAAGCAUGGGUAGCGAACAGGAUUAGAUACCCUGGUAGUCCAUGCCGUAACGAUGAGUGCUAAGUGU